CAAAAAAAAUUAUAAAAAAAAAAAGCAUUCUCUGCUCUUUCUCUCCGCUAUCAUCGCUUCUUUCUCUUCCUAAUUCUUAUUCUCUCUCACUCACUUUUCUUCAUUUCCCAUCACACCUCAAUCUCUGUUAAACCGUGUUAACCACAAAAAUGAGACCAUGACGACGCUGUCUCAACCUCCAAGAACCGUUCGCAAGUUGCUGGUCGAAGUUGUCAAUGCUCGUGAUCUUCUUCCCAAGGAUGGCCAGGGGAGCUCCAGUCCUUAUGUCAUUGCUGACUUCGAUGGCCAGAGGAAGCGAACCUCCACCAAG
rnacentral:misc_RNA from 1 species